rnacentral:rRNA from 1 species
UACGGGGGGAGCAAGCGUUGUUCGGAUUUACUGGGCGUAAAGGGCGCGUAGGCGGCACCGCAAGUCGACUGUGAAAUCUCCGGGCUUAACCCGGAAAGGUCAGCCGAUACUGCGGGGCUAAAGUGCAGAAGGGGCAACUGGAAUUCUCGGUGUAGCGGUGAAAUGCGUAGAUAUCGAGAGGAACACCUGCGGCGAAGGUGGGUUGCUGGGCUGACACUGACGCUGAUGCGCGAAAGCUAGGGGAGCGAACGGG